UGAAUUCAUCUUCAGAUAGCUAGGUGGGACAACCACAUCUCAGUCUUAGUGAAUUCAUCUUCAGAUAGCUAGGUGGGACAACCACAUCUCAGUCAUAGUUAGUGAAUUCAUCUUCAGAUAGCUAGGUGGGACAACCACAUCUCAGUCAUAGUGAAUUCAUCUUCAGAUAGCUAGGUGGGACAACCACAUCUCAGUCAUAGUGAAUUCAUCUUCAGAUAGCUAGGUGGGACAACCACAUCUCAGUCAUAGUGAAUUCAUCUUCAGAUAGCUAGGUGGGACAACCACAUCUCAGUCAUAGUGAAUUCAUCUUCAGAUAGCUAGGUGGGACAACCACAUCUCAGUCAUAGUGAAUUCAUCUUCAGAUAGCUAGGUGGGACAACCACAUCUCAGUCAUAGUGAAUUCAUCUUCAGAUAGCUAGGUGGGACAACCACAUCUCAGUCAUAGUGAAUUCAUCUUCAGAUAGCUAGGUGGGACAACCACAUCUCAGUCAUAGUGAAUUCAUCUUCAGAUAGCUAGGUGGGACAACCACAUCUCAGUCAUAGUGAAUUCAUCUUCAGAUAGCUAGGUGGGACAACCACAUCUCAGUCAUAGUGAAUUCAUCUUCAGAUAGCUAGGUGGGACAACCACAUCUCAGUCAUAGUGAAUUCAUCUUCAGAUAGCUAGGUGGGACAACCACAUCUCAGUCAUAGUGAAUUCAUCUUCAGAUAGCUAGGUGGGACAACCACAUCUCAGUCAUAGUGAAUUCAUCUUCAGAUAGCUAGGUGGGACAACCACAUCUCAGUCAUAGUGAAUUCAUCUUCAGAUAGCUAGGUGGGACAACCACAUCUCAGUCAUAGUGAAUUCAUCUUCAGAUAGCUAGGUGGGACAACCACAUCUCAGUCAUAGUGAAUUCAUCUUCAGAUAGCUAGGUGGGACAACCACAUCUCAGUCAUAGUGAAUUCAUCUUCAGAUAGCUAGGUGGGACAACCACAUCUCAGUCAUAGUGAAUUCAUCUUCAGAUAGCUAGGUGGGACAACCACAUCUCAGUCAUAGUGAAUUCAUCUUCAGAUAGCUAGGUGGGACAACCACAUCUCAG